GAUGAACGCUGGCGGCGUGCCUAAUACAUGCAAGUCGAGCGAACAGAUGAGGAGUUUGCUCCUCUGACGUUAGCGGCGGACGGGUGAGUAACAUGUGGAUAACCUCCCUAUAAGACUGGGAUAACUUCGGGACACCGGCUCUAAUAGCGGAUAAGAUAUUGAACCGUAUUGGUCGAUAGUGAAAGACGGCUUUGCUGUCACUAAUAGAUGGUUCUGCGCCGCAUUAGCUAGUUGGUAAGGUCACGGCCUACCAAGGCUACGAUGCGUAACCGAACGGAGAGAGUGGUCGGCGACACUGGAACGGAGACACGGUCCAGACUACUACGGGAGGCAGCAGUAGGGAAUCUUCCGCAGUGGGCGAAAGCCUGACGGAGCAACGCCGCGUGAGUGAUGAAGGUCUUCGGAUCGUAAAGCUCUGUUAUUAGGGAAGAACAAAUGUGUAAGUAACUAUGCACGGCUUGACGGUAACUAAUCAGAAAGCCACGGCUAACUACGUG
rnacentral:rRNA from 1 species